UUUUGGACAAUGGGCGAAAGCCUGAUCCAGCCAUUCCGCGUGAGUGAAGAAGGCCUUCGGGUUGUAAAGCUCUUUCGCAAGGGAAGAAACGAUGCAGUCGAAUAAACUGUGUUAAUGACGGUACCUUGAUAAGAAGCACCGGCUAACUACGUGCCAGCAGCCGCGGUAAUACGUAGGGUGCAAGCGUUAAUCGGAAUUACUGGGCGUAAAGCGUGCGCAGGCGGUUUUGUAAGUCAGAUGUGAAAUCCCCGAGCUCAACUUGGGAACUGCGUUUGAAACUACAAGACUAGAAUAUGUCAGAGGGGGGUAGAAUUCCACGUGUAGCAGUGAAAUGCGUAGAGAUGGGAGGAAUACCAAUGGCGAAGGCAGCCCCCUGGGAUAAUAUUGACGCUCAUGCACGAAA
rnacentral:rRNA from 1 species